GAGCACGUAGGUGGGUUUGUAAGUCAGAUGUGAAAGCCUUCUGUUCAACGGGAGAAUUGCAUCUGAAACUACAGACCUUGAGUAUAGGAGGGGAGAAUGGAACUUCUGGUGGAGCGGUGAAAUGCGUAGAUAUCAGAAGGAACGCCGGCGGCGAAAGCGAUUCUCUGGCCUAUUACUGACACUCAGUGUGCGGAAGCUAGGGGAGCAAACGGGAUUAGAUACCCCGGUAGUCCUAGCCGUAAACGAUGGGCACUAAGUAGAGGGGUUUU
rnacentral:rRNA from 1 species